AGUGCAGGAAACACCUGCGUCUUCGGAGUGUACGCAGUUGUUGACGCCCCAUCCCCUAUUUGGACAAUACUCCAGCCUUGAUUCCCAUCCAUAACAACCAACGUCGUCAAGCCAUAUAGUUCCAGAUCCAGAUCCAAAUGCGGGAUAACUAACCCUUGAUCCACCACUGUAUCCAAGUUGUCGACAAACUACUUGUGCGUCAAGAUCAUCCCAGUCAUCAUCACAUACUGUCCCCCAUUGGCCGUCGUAGUAAAUCUCAACACGCCCUUCGUAUGGAGAGAAACCAUCGGCAAGUCGGAUGUCUCCAUCAACUUUAAAGUAAAUGAAAAAUGUACUUCAGUGCAUAAAGAGGUUGAUGAACAUGAUGAAGAUUCUCUACAAGUUUAUAACAUCCUGCCAUCUUGUGGCAAUGCAUUAAGUCUUAGAUACGGAGGAUACGGUUGUUUUUGUCGCUCUGGAGGUUCUGGUCUACCUGUGGAUGACAUGGAUAAAUGCUGCCAGGAACAUGGCAGUUGCUACAGUAGUUUGAAAGACGAAAGUGGGGGUUCUUGCUCCAGUGAAACCGAUCUGUCUGCCAUAUCUUACUCUUUCGAAUGUAGAGCUGCUUGGAGUUGGUUCAAUGACGCUACUGAAAAAGCACUCAAUAUUUCAUGCAAUUCUGAUGCCAAUGACGGAUGUCAGCAAGCAUUGUGUGACUGCGACAAGACAGCAUCACUCUGCUUCGCGGCAAAUGAAUAUAACCCAGAAUACACCAGCUACGAUAAGAAAAGAUGUGAAAAUUAGUCUGUUGCCACGUGCUACUUGCCUGAAGUGUUAGAAGAUACACAAAUUCAAAACUUAAAAUUUUAUUUCGAUGAGCCCCAUAGGUGAAAUUAAUUUACUGUGUUUCCAAAAGGUUCCAAUAUAAGUUUAAGCUUUAUGCUUUUAUGAUUUUCACAAUUUUACACGUGGAAUUUUACCGUAGAUUCAAUGUACCAGCCAAACUCAAAUCAAUCAUUGACAAGAAAAUACGAUAUGAAAAAGUAACCGAUUAUACGGUCAUAAUAUAUUAUUUUCCGCUGGACAUUUUGGUCAACGUCCUGUACGACACACGGAGAUAUAAAAGUUACGACCAUCUUUAAAUCUUAAUUUUCUGUAAUUUUCUACUUAAAGGACAAGUCCACCCCAACAAAAUGUUGAUUUUUUAUUUGAAUAAAUAGAGAAAAAAUUAACAAGUAUUACACUGAAAAUUUCAUCAAAAUCGGAUGAAAGAUAAGAAAGUUAUAACAUUUUAAAGUUUCGCUUAAUUUCACAAAACAGUUAUAUCCACAUCCUGGUCAGUAUGCAAAUGAGAAGACUGAUGACGUCAUCCACUCACUAUUUCUUUUGUAUUUUAUUAUCUUAAAUAUGAAAUAUUCUAAUUUGCUCCUCAUUGUCAAGCAAUACAAGGAUUAAUUCCCCUGAACAUGUGGAAUUUGGUCCUUAUUGUCAAAUCUGUAAAAAGUGAAAUAUUGUAUAAUUCAAACAGUCAACAACAAAAAAGAAAUAGUGAGUGAUGGACAUCAUCGACUGUCUCAUUUGCAUGUCACUGAGUUGUGCAUAUCACUGUUUUGUGAAAAAUAAGCGAAACUUUAAAAUAUCAUAACUUUCUUAUUUAACAUAAGAUUUUGAUGAAGUUUUCAGUGUUAUGCUAGUUUGAUUUUUCUCUAUUCAUUAAAAUUACAAUUUUUUGGGAGUGGACUUGACCUUUAAAGUUUUAUCUGGCUCUCUCUCCCCCUCACUCUCUCCCCCCUCCCUCUCUCUCUCUCUCUCCCUCUCUCUCUCCCCCUCUCUCUCAUCGCAUCGAGAUAAUACCCUAUUAGUUUAAUUAUCAUAGGCUAAUACAAGGUCGGUCUAAUUUCCACUUCUUUUUAUAUUCUUCUUUGACAAGCAAAGAUCUUGAUUCAUAUUCAGUUCACCUAACAAUGAAUACUAAAUUAUGUAAGUGGUGUUAGAGUUAUAGACCGAGUGGAAAAACACAAAAUAGCGUUACAAGAAAUAAAACAACAUGAUACAUGUAUUAAAUGACAAUUAUACUAAAUCUUUAGUAGAAAAAUUGGUUGUAGAUAAAAUUAUAAUUAGACCGUGUGCGAUAAGACAAAAGGAAAGUAGAUAAUGCGGAUGUCGUAUAAACCAUCUACCAAUAUUCAGUGUAACAAACAUAUCGUACAAUAAACCAUUCCAAUUAUUACA